rnacentral:rRNA from 1 species
GGGAAGUGCGCGUGCUAUACUGCAGUCGACGCUUCUUUUUCACCGGAGCUUGCUCCACCGGAAAAAGAGGAGUGGCGAACGGGUGAGUAACACGUGGGUAACCUGCCCAUCAGAAGGGGAUAACACUUGGAAACAGGUGCUAAUACCGUAUAACAAUCAAAACCGCAUGGUUUUGAUUUGAAAGGCGCUUUCGGGUGUCGCUGAUGGAUGGACCCGCGGUGCAUUAGCUAGUUGGUGAGGUAACGGCUCACCAAGGCCACGAUGCAUAGCCGACCUGAGAGGGUGAUCGGCCACAUUGGGACUGAGACACGGCCCAAACUCCUACGGGAGGCAGCAGUAGGGAAUCUUCGGCAAUGGACGAAAGUCUGACCGAGCAACGCCGCGUGAGUGAAGAAGGUUUUCGGAUCGUAAAACUCUGUUGUUAGAGAAGAACAAGGAUGAGAGUAACUGUUCAUCCCUUGACGGUAUCUAACCAGAAAGCCACGGCUAACUACGUGCCAGCAGCCGCGGUAAUACGUAGGUGGCAAGCGUUGUCCGGAUUUAUUGGGCGUAAAGCGAGCGCAGGCGGUUUCUUAAGUCUGAUGUGAAAGCCCCCGGCUCAACCGGGGAGGGUCAUUGGAAACUGGGAGACUUGAGUGCAGAAGAGGAGAGUGGAAUUCCAUGUGUAGCGGUGAAAUGCGUAGAUAUAUGGAGGAACACCAGUGGCGAAGGCGGCUCUCUGGUCUGUAACUGACGCUGAGGCUCGAAAGCGUGGGGAGCAAACAGGAUUAGAUACCCUGGUAGUCCACGCCGUAAACGAUGAGUGCUAAGUGUUGGAAGGUUUCCGCCCUUCAGUGCUGCAGCUAACGCAUUAAGCACUCCGCCUGGGGAGUACGACCGCAAGGUUGAAACUCAAAGGAAUUGACGGGGGCCCGCACAAGCGGUGGAGCAUGUGGUUUAAUUCGAAGCAACGCGAAGAACCUUACCAGGUCUUGACAUCCUUUGACCACUCUAGAGAUAGAGCUUCCCCUUCGGGGGCAAAGUGACAGGUGGUGCAUGGUUGUCGUCAGCUCGUGUCGUGAAAUGUUGGGUUAAGUCCCGCAACGAGCGCAACCCUUAUUGUUAUUUGCCACCAUUCAUUUGGGCACUCUAACAAAAAUGCCGGUGA